rnacentral:lncRNA from 1 species
AUUGUGUAAGCAGUUUAGAGAAAGUAGAUCAAAUUCAAUGACUCGGAUCAUGGAAUGCCGAAACAUCCGAAUCGGAUGGUUCGAGGCAUGCUGAACUAUACCAGUGGUCAAUUGGUGUGGUUCAAGAUAUGCCAAACUGUACCGACGGCCAAUCAAUGCGGUUUAGGCAUUCGAUUCGAAACAUCUGUGAAAACAGAGUGAGGGAGAAGGAAAGAGGAAGAAAGAGAGGGAGGGCGGGAAGGAGAUAGAAAGGCUGGUGAUGGUCUCUCGAGGCUUCACUAUGAAUCACGUUAAAAAAAAUGAACAGGGGUGGGUUGCCCCUAUUUUGAAUGCGUGGCAUCUGCGAAGUAGAUUUUCAUCAUUCGGCAGUUACUCCCUCCCCCUCUCUCUAUCUCUCUCUAAUCUCUCGCGGAGAAUCGAGGAGCCUCGGAGACCUCGACACCCUUCUAGCGGUCACUGCUGGCGUCUUCGCUAGCCUCCCUUUCCUUCACUCUCCCCCUCUCUUUCUCCCCGGUUCUCCCUCGUUUCCAUUUUAGUUCGGAUCUACUACAGUCUGAUACGAAUGAAUACUGAUUCAUAGCGUCGGUCGGCCGGCAUGGGAUCCCAUUCCAAGUCGAUGAACCUUAGCUCGAAUCAUUGAUGUGGGACCCCCAUCGUCCAAUUCAAAAAGAGGUGUAAAUUUAUAACAGUUACACCAGAUGUAACUAGAACUUAACCCAUUAUAUUUUAUAUUAUAUAAACUUAUCAUGAUAAUGCAUUUGCUACUAUUAUGAUUUUAUAAUAUUAAUAAUAGUAUACAUACUAAUAUGUAAUUAUACCUUAACAUGUUGGUUAUAAAUGUACAUACCAAUUUUUUAAUAUUUUCAUUAUUAUAUUACUAAUUUAAUUUUCUGUUAUAACAAUUUUCUACAUUGCAAUGACAAAAUGUAAUAUGUGAAGUAAUAUAUUAAAUAAUACCUUAUUAAAAGUAGCGGUAAAAUUAUAGUAAUUUGUUAUAUAUUAAGAUCCAUAUAUCAUUAUAUAAAACUAUGAAACUGUAUGGUACUAAUCCUGAUUGCUUUGGUGUCACAAUGGUUACUUGCACAACUUUUGUAGUUCAACCUAAAAUCUCUUUUGCUGUUGGCCAAAAUGCUGUAGUUGAGUCAGUAGUAUGGUUACAUGUUGGAUGUUGAACUAUAUGUCAAAUCAUAUGAUAGAUCAGUAAAUUAAAUUGCAACAAAUUCAGUUAUAUGAAACCAGGAAGGAUCUUAGUUGAGACCAAUGAAAUAAAAAGAAAUGAAGAUUGUAAAAAAGAAAAACUUUAUAGUCUAACAGCUAGAGAAGCUGGAGCAUUAGGAGAAAUGAUUAAGAAAUCAGUUGGUCGAUGAUGAUUCACUGCUCAUUAGCUGAUAUGCUUCUGCAGAUGAAUACACCAGAGCACUACUCAUUUGCAUCAAGAAAGCGAUGUGUUUUAGCUUACAGUCCUUGUGCUUCACCUUAUCAUUUCCAUUUUCUUUUUUUUUAUCACAAUAACAUGUAAAGUAUCAUAUCUCUGUUGGCCCGUGGUGGUUUCUUGUUGGUGCAACUGCAUUAUACAAAAUGAUGUGAGCCACUUCUGUUAGUUGAAGAUGUACAGGUUUUUAUUCUUUUGUUGAAAAAUGCAUGGUUAUUUUUUGCUGUUGGUUUAUUUGUGUAGAUUAGAUCGUUCAGAUGAUGUGUGGUUCUUUUCUCUUGUCUAACCUUGUCUUGUUUUAAAUUUAGUGGCAAUCAAGUUCAGAACAGAGCACCAAGUGUCACGCAAGGAGCACUAAAAUUGCAGCAAGGAGUUCCCAUGCCAGGACAUGUUUUGCAAUCACAAGGAAAUAAGUUUUCACAAACUAAUUGGCCCAAUAUGAUCCAGUAUAGAGGCAUUCCUACCUUCAUGGAUGAAUUUAAAUAUGGAUUUCCAGCAAAUGGCUUGUCAUCUGUUUCUGUCAAAUGGUGGGGAAGUGGCAACAAGGAAGAUACUGAAAGGAUGUUGCCAGAAGAAUCUGGAACCAUAAAAGAGGAGAAUAAGGAACCUCACGAGUUAUCAAAUGAAACCUCUAAUGGUAUAGUGAAAGAUGAUCACCCUGACCAUAGUACACAGGAUGUUGCCUCUGUAACUGGGCCAACUACUUCCUUUUGUUCUUUGAGAAGAAAAGCUGUAGAACAUGGCUGCGAAACACUGAAGGGUGGAAUUUCUAAGGGCUACACAAGUUACAAGUUGGGCAAAAGACAAAGAUUAGCAUUACUCCAAGUAUUCAAAUCAUCAUUACCAGAUCAAUGGAUGGAUGCCUUUUCUUGAUCCAAGGCUGUCCCAUAAUUCAUUAUUCAUGACUUCUUAAGGUAAGGCCUUUACUCUAAAUUCAUUAUUGACAUGUUUCUGUCAGUGUGGGAUCGAAGACACUCCCUAAGUACAUACAUGUUUGAUUUGGGAUCAAAGACACUUCCACAUGGGUCCUCACAUUUCUUCUUUAAGCCUUGACAUCCUUUCCAAGGAAGGGUGGUCCAACUAGAAACAGAAACACCAUAAUGGACUAGAGGUCAAUCCUAAAAGGGCUCGUGUUGUAGUAUCCCUUAGUCCAUGUAGGUCAUGGGUUGGUUCAGCUCUAAUAUCAUUUGUGAUGACUUAGGACCUCAUCCAAGAAAGCUACUCAUAAAGGUACUUAUUAGAUCCUUCACUCUGCUCAACUAUCCAUGACCACCCUACUACAACAAUGUGGGAACACAUGCCUAUAUGAGUCCUUGCACAUGCAACAUCCCUCCACUGGGGUCUUAGACUUUAGGUCAUCUUCAUCAAGAGAAUACUUAACAAAAGAAGCAUUUAUUUUCUUCACCUUUUAAUCAGUGUCUUGCUUUUUCAUUUUAUUAUCAAAAUAAAUCUUAAGUACAUGUCAUGCACUUGUUUAUCAUGCUUAUCCUUAACCUAGGACAUCACAUGACCUUGUAUUAUAUCUAAAAUCUAGUAUAACUGGUGAGUCCUUGCAGUCCCACAUAAAUUUAGAAGAAACUAGAAAAUACGAAAGCCUAGGAGUUACUACAUCAUGACCCAGCAAGAUUUAGUAGGCUAACCAGCACCUAGGUUGCAACAAAACUAAUGCGUAAGUGCACAUAGGAUCGCUAUUACCCAACAAUAUCUAGUAGGCUAACCACAACCUAGAGACAGAAGAAAACUAGAAAAAUAGUCUGAAGUGCCAAUGCAAUCAACAAAACUCCUUUUUGAGUAUGACACUGGGGCACGAUGCUAGGCAAGAGAUUCCAAAAUUUCCUAUUGUACAAGUGCACAUAAUGAUUUGGACAGCCUGUCCAUCAUGUAAUCAACGGGCAUUCGAUGCAUAGUGAGAGUUGUAGUUAUUUAGAUUAUAGACCUUGUUAAAUAUUCACUAAUUAACAAAUCCAUAGAUAUGAUUGAUAUUUGUAACCACAUCAGCGUAAAUUCUGGUGCCAAAAUUUUAGUGACACAUAGAAGUAGUUGCUUCGCAAGGAUACCAUCCGUAGGUACCAAACUCAUUGCACGUCUGUGACUAGAAGGUCAUUUUCUCCACUAUUGUAAUUAUCAAGAAGUGUUCAGUCUCUCUCCCGAUGCUCCCCCACCCCCGCCCCCAGAAAAAAUAAAAGGAUGCACUCACACACACUUCUGGAUUUAUUUCAGUAAAAUUUUAAAGGCCAGCUAUCUUCAAUUGAAACAAACUGUUAUGCUUCUUGCAGUUGCGAGUUUAAAGUUGCAUCAACUAUGCCCUCUCCCUAAUUUUCCUUCUCAUGCUAGUCUGAGUUUUUCUUGAAUUUAAAUAUAUAGAUCUGGUAUUCAAACUCAAAAGGGAUGUCACCUCUUCCGUGCUGUAAUUAAAACCUGGGGUUCAAAGAAAAGUUUGCUUACCUGUCUCCAUGAUGCUAUAAAUAUUCUCCCUGAUCUGUGUAAACUAAUCCUUUUGUGAGAAGAAAGGAAACUUUCUUGUAUCUCUUAUCAAUUGGCAGUAUUGACCAUGAUCAUUUAGAUUUUUGUUACCUGGUGGCACAGUCUUGCUAAUCAUCCUAGUUACAAGUUGGUUUCUGAAGUUUUACCAGUACUGGAUUUUUCUGAUUAAAGGUUGUCCUGAACAUAACGUGUGUCUGCAGGCUUACGCAUCCUACCCAUGGCACAGGAGUAGAAGCUUCAUCUGUGGCGAGCGGCUAAUAUAAUGUUUUUGACUGCUCAGGCACCAAAAGGACAUGAUCAAUGCUAUUGUUGCAUCCUCGCUUGGUCAUUGUAACAAGCAUAUGGCCUCAUUAUCAUGCUUCUGUUUGAUCAGUUUUAUCAUAUCUGAACAGUUUACACCCCAUAUCCUGGCUACGAAUGACAAACAAUAUUCAUUCUGCCAGCUGAGUGCCUUCUCUUCUGCUUGAACUUCUCUAGCCAAUAUGUGCAGUAUUACUCCCGCGGAAGUGUGGGUCAUGUGGAAAUUCAUGAACUUCAGAACAGAACCUGAUAAUCAUAGGAAAAAAAAUCUCAUCUUCCAUGUGGUGUUGCAUUAUUUUGUUGUGUAGAUGAUGAGAGAAACGGCAUUACCUUGAAACCAGAAUUCAUUUUAUCCAGCCUAUUGAGACCUUUCCACCCUCCGAUGGCUUUAGCGUAUGGCAUAUUGAUUCAUGUCUGAAAGUUUUAACGUAAGUAACAUUCUACUACCUUGAUUCUGUAGUCUGACCCUUAUCUAGUUGUCUUUUGGAUAUGACGUCAUUGCUUGAAGGUAUGAUUUAUUGACCAAGACAAUAUAAUAAUCCAUAAACUGAUUUUUUUUCUCUUAUUUUCUGAAUAUAUGUUUACUAUUAAGUUGAUAAAGUUAUUGUUAAAAUGACUCUACCUACCAUGCCAGAUAUUAAAAGAAACAGAGAAAAAUAGCAUGACAUACAUUUUCCAGGAGGAGAAGGACACGAUUUUAAUAUAUUGUUUCAUAAUCUACCCUUGGCUACCAUUUUCUACUGUAUAAUGCAUCAACCAUCACUCAGAUCGGAUUUAUGAUCAUCUUUAAUUAGUAAAGUAGAAAGAGAUUUGUUGUCAGUAUUUUCUAAACAUUUGUUGCACACUCUGGAGAGAUUAUUCAGAAAUUUGUAUAUUAAAUUCACUCAUUCACAUAAAAUAUGCAUAGAAUAAGAUAAACUGCUAAUUCAUACAUCUUUACUUUAAACCUAAUAAAAAGAGCUAUAGUCAAAAUACACAUGGACAUUAGCGCCAUUUUCUCUUGCUAAAGAUUGGCAUGUAGUGACUCUUAUAGUUCUAGAAUGUUUUUUUCGGUUGUUGCCUCAUUGACUUGGGAAGGAGGCAAGCUCAAAAAAGAACUUUAGGACAAAUCCUUUCUGCAGAAGAGGUUUUGCUAGAGUGGUUUUUCUCGCCUCUGAAGUAAAAAGCAUUUCCUUCUGUUCUUUUUAAUUUAGUCUUUGGAUGUUGUCGUGUUGGAUAUUUUUGAAAGCUGAGAUUGUUUUACAAUAUUUCUUUCACUUUAUAUUACAAUUAUUUUGACUGUAUUAAUUUCUAUUUUUAGUUUUGCCUCCAAUAUAUUUGUUUUAUUGUUUCUGGUUGUUUUGAGAGAAAUGAACAAAUCCUAUCAUCUUUCUCCCAUUUAACAUCAAAUAGCUCCUAUAAAGGAUCCAUCUUCGUUUUCAUUUAUCAGACGUGUCACAAGGCAUUAGUCGCAAGUUUGUUCUAUUACAUUUCACCAUCAGUUUGACUUCUUGAACUCAUGAUAGCUAUUGAUCAAAGAUAUUUCCUACGGCCUGCCCUAAGUUCAACCAUUGUGUAGGAGAAUAUUAGGGUAGGUUUUAAAUAUAGGAUCUUAUCAUAGUUCAAGUAGUUCGUAUUGUUUGGAAGUUUGGUACUUGCAUGUAGCAUUCCAGCCACUCAACCAGUGUUUACUUGCAUACAUUAACUGUCAACUCAUUUAUGCUUAUGUUGUUGAUAUCGAGCAUCUCAGACUUGGAGUAACUUUGUUGUGGGUGCUAUAUAUGAUGGUGGUAUUGUCUUAUAUCAGGGAUGAACAUAUCUUUUCUAUGGUGGUUGGCAUGGAUUGAUCGAGAGUAGUGACUGUGAACCUCUACAAAAUUUAUAGUGAACGCAAUUAACAGUUGAAAGAAAAUGAAACUAGAUCCCACAUAACAUUUGUUGGGAUGUAAUCUUCUGUCUUUUAGUUCCAAUGGCAAUCUUGACUCUGACGUCGAGUAUGAUCGAUGAGCUUCUUGAUCUUAAAGCACCUGUUUUCUCUGAGCCGAUAAGAGGUCAAACAAGAAUGACCGGUUCGGGGGUCCUACAAUUUACUCCUCACGGCUGCCUCCAUAUCAUUUUGCAACGAUUCAGCAGAGAUCUGAUCCUGAUACUUAUGUUCGAAGACAGGCCUAAAUGGUUCCCCACUGCCUAGUAUAAAUUGGCCAGAAACCGGGCCUAACUUAUCAAGAAGGCAUUCAGGUGACAUGGUCUUGGCUUUUUAAACUGAGAGCUUAUGCAACAUAUACUGAUAUUAUCAUAUUAAAAAGAUAUAUGUUAGAUGAUAAUAAAGAAAGCAUUCAUUUAGUAAAAAUAUUAAAAUAGAUAAAUCAAGUUGCACUGAACGUGAGCUCGGCUAGAGUCCUCUGUGCCAGCUCUCAAUCCUCAUCAAGCCAAGAACACUAGCAAGCUAGAGCAUGGACGGCUCUAUCCACAGCUCCUGUUAAAUGAGUGGAAUCAUGGUGCAAUUUUAUUACACUUGCCAUCUGAACACUGCCAGGCAAUUCGUAAGAUUAAAAAUUUCUCACGAAAGUCCACGUUCUGAUAAAGAAAAGGUAAUGAUAUAUCUAUGUUUUUUAUUAACCAUGGUUGUGGGCAUGCUAAUCAAUCAAGUACAUCCCCGUUGCUUUCAUGAACAUUUGACGGCAUUGCCACAUUCGCUGUUCAAUUUCAGAGAGGAACCAUAUCCCAGGAUGUAUAUGCUAUCUUUAUUCGAUUAUUACCUAAAUGAACUAUCAUUCAUCGAUAAAAAUAAGGCAUGCAAAAGUAAAUAAGCAUAGGAGAAAAUGCCAGAAGAGAUUGUCCUAAUGUGCAAUAUUCAUUGAUUCGAUCAUAUAUGUUUUUCUCCACUAGCAAGAUAACAACAACUCCUUUCUGGAUCAUUAGAGACAAUUGAUACAAAUGAAUGACACCGCUAGUGGGUUGAAUGGUGCUGCUGUCAUCUUGGUUUUGCAUUAGGCAUAAGUACAGCUACCGAAACCUGCAAGAGGUGACAAGAAGAAAAGAUUAAAUUGAUUUAUUCUGGUGGAAGUUAAUUUUGACUGUCAGCUGGUGUAGAAAUAUAGUCCAUCUGGUAAUUACUUGGAUCAGUUGUUGUGACAAGCCCUGAAUUCUUAAAGUGACAAUUCCAGUUGUUCCUGCCCCUGCAUUGGUAGUACAG